UUGGACAAUCUCGAGCUAUAUGCCCCUCCUGACCACAUCUAAAACAGGCUGUAGUCCCUAACCGACAAACUCCCUUGUGUGGUCUACCACACCUUGCACAAACUGCAUUAUCCGCACCAGAGCUUGAGCCACUUCCAAAUCCCAGACUAGACUUGACCUUGUUCCAGAACUUAUUCUUCUUACCCUUGGGCUUACCCCAUCUCUUACUGCCUGAAGCUGCUGCACUCAGGGUAGAGGGAUCUAAUCUUCCCCCACCCGGAGUUUUAGAACCGGAAGACUGUGCCACUG
rnacentral:lncRNA from 1 species